GCGAGGCGCGAGAGUGUGGUGACCGAGUCCGUCUGCCAGCUGUGUAAUCUCCACAGGGGAGUGAGAGAAUUAUAGACGUGGGUGUUUCCUUUACUCAUUUAUCAGAAUGCUGCUACAGGGGGAUGUUGAGGAAUAGAUUUACCCUGGUUGCCGAUCCAGUGCAGAGCUAUGAUGCUACCACGGCUUCUCCACUCUAACUCUUCACGGCCACUGCCUGGGUGGAGAGCGCUCACGAGGACCACAGCAAAUCCUGGAACUGCUACAUUCUCUCUCAUUGAUGGACCAGGGCACCUCUUUUUAGUAGACUGUCUAAGCUCAGAACAUGCAGUGAGCAGUUGGCGACAGAAGCACAGCACCCUCUUCCAGAUGGACAGAGCCAUAUGCUGCACGAGCCCCCACGGUGCCGAGCUUCCUUUGCUGUAGAAGGCAAAUCAACCCCUCUCCUCAGUCUUCAGUGUUGAUUCUAAAUCCAGUUGCUUUGAGUUCCCGGGGAACAUUUCAUUCUCUCUAGGGUCUUGUCAAUAAGUGCAACUUCAUAGCCAGCACACUGGCAGCCUAAGAAUACAUCUCUCUGGGUUUGGCUAACUUUAGUAUCUUUCCCCAAGAAAUUUUGAAGUCUGAUGACAGCUUUGAGAAAAUGGAGGAGGAGAAGCUUUCCAAAGACAAAAAUUCUGUAGCAUGAAAAUUUACCAAUUCGUCAGGUUGAAAUUCCUUACUCCUACUCUCACCUCUUAUCCGUUCAACUUUUUAGCGCCUAUCAUUAUGUAUUUAUAGUAACAACUUCUGUUUCAAAAUGACUCUACUUUUAGAUCAUUCAAAAUGUUUAUCAGUACUAUUUUUCAGGCCACUAUUGGCCAAUUAUUGGAUUAAGAGAUUCAACUCUCUUCUGUAAGAAAGCGCUCAAGGAGAAACAAGUGGUUUAUUCUAAAGCAAUCAGUGAAGCCUUUAUGACCCCUGAACCAAGAAUGCAAUUAAGACUAGCAAUGAAGUCCCCCCACUUUACAGUGGUUCUCUUCAUCCACAGGUUGACUCAGGUUUCAAAUGUGGGUUUUUUCCUGUGAGUUAAACUGUAUGUUGUACUUGCAGUGUAAACAUCUUACAAGAGUUGUUCCCAUGCCUUUCUUUCUAAAUGGUUCUCAUACCUACGUGUUCUGGGCUCAGUAAAUUUCCACCCCAUUAAUCUUCCUUCUGUUUAUUAAACAUACCAGACUUUUCUCAUCCAGACACUUUAUUUUGUUUUUCUGAAAAUACUUGUCCUUCAGAACUUCACCUGACUGGCUACGUCUAGUCAUUCAGAGAGGUGUUCCCUGGUCUCUCUAUCUAACAUAGCACUACUUUGUCAUUCUAUAACAAAUCAUGUUAUAAUAUUCUUCACAGUACUGAAGAAUAUCCAAAGUCAUUUGUUCACUUGUUUUUAGCUCUGUGAAAACAGGGACCACAUACUCUACUCUACCCUCAGUGACUAGGCUAUUGUAACAUAAUUUUGAACAAAUUAGCUAGUGAAUGAGUGUUUGAGAGGGUAGUAAAUAAAGAUUUAGAGAAUACAGAUUAAAUUUUAUAAAUGCAGUAGUUCCUGGAUUAAAGAAAGCAUGCAUUAUUUGCUUAGAAUUCAAUCCCAAAUUAAGGAGAUCCUACAUUAUUUAUUUAGAAUUUAACCCAUUCAAAAAUGAUUUGGAACAAACUAAGAUGGUCGUAGGGAAAAUAGAGAUUGGAAAUAAAAAUAAUUUUCAAGGAAUUGUCAUUAAUACAUGGCAGCUAAUUUAAUACAGGAGAAAAACCAAUAGCUGCGUAAAUAAAAAACAUUGACGCUGAGUUCUCAGUCCUGGGUAUCAGGGAAGAUAACUACGUCGUUAAAAGAAACUGGGAAAAUCCUAAGGGAACAUAUUUGGAUGAGAGAUUGCGUUUAGCUUAGAACACACUGAGUGUAACUGCUCAGUGGGACAGCCAGGUGGAAAUGUCCAGUGUGCUGCUGAGAUUACGGGCUUGAAGGCUGGGGACACAGGUUUGGAGACACAGAUCUGGGGAUCAUCCUCACAGAAGUGAUUACUGACGCCAUGGGAGCCAGGAAGUCAGUUGGGAAAUUUUCUCUUUACUCCUCCUAGACAGUCACAGAGAUCAUCUCUGUGGAAGGCCUUUUCUUGGGAAUUUACGGCCUUUUACAUGCAUCAGUGAAAAAGGCUUUGAUUUAAAAUGAAAAACAGCUAACCUUUACACACUGGCAUGGGAAGUGCUAUUGUCUUUCCUAGCUAUUUCAUGAGUAUGUUGCCUUUGAUAAAUGUUGGCCAAACCUACAACUCUGGGUUUAGGGAGUAUGGAAUACAGCACAAUAAGCCUAUAUUUUAGCAGCACAGAUCAAGAAUCCAAUGAAGAAUAAGGAAACAUUCAUUUUAAUACUAAAGUUAACGUUUAUUUUAAUAAACUGUUCCUUAUUUUUGUGUGGGAAACCAAUCUAGCAUGAUUCAGGUGAACUUUAACAGACAGAGAUGUCCAUCAGUAAAGGUUUCCUAUGGCUCAUGUUAGGAUUCUCUUCACAACGUGUUUGAAAGUAGAUUCAGGGAGAUAAUAUCAUUAGGACAUAACCAUACAUCUGAUUAUCCUGGUGCCUUGGAAUGAGAAGUUUUUAAUUUCUCCUAAGGUCUGUUUUGGAUUUUAAAUGUAAAGUUGGUUGGAAGCAGAAAACAAGAGUUUGAAAUGGAACAAAGGAAACAUCAAAGCUCUAUUGUUUGGUUUCUCAGAAUUACGAUGAACUGAAUUUUCCUAUUUGUUUUGCAGGUAUUUUGUGUUUGAUUGUCCCUCACUGGCCGAUAUCUGCAUUAUUCCUGAACGAUGGUGUUAAUGGGUCUUUGGACAUCAGACUUUGUUAUCAUUUCUCCCAUACAUGACCUUUACAACAGUGCACUUUAACAAGUGCCCACUCUUUUGGUUAGUAUCCAUAAUCACUUCAUAGAAGAAACAGACUUCAGAAAUUUAAGUUUUUCUUCUAAAUUCCACUUUACAGCCUGUUAAAACUGUGAUGUAAUGGGCAUUUUAAAUCACUGAGACUACUUUAGGACUUAGGAAAAUAACUGGAAGUGAAGUUAGAUUUUUCUACACAUUGAGGAGAAUAUUGCUUUCAUAGUUUUCUAGGUGUGAACCAUACCUGAUGUUCCAGAUUCUUGAGAGGCUAUUUUUAGGAAAAUAAAGGAGAACCAUAGACAUAAUCUGUUUAGAACUUCCAAAGGAUUUUUCUAAAGCACCACACUAGAGGAUUAAAGAAUUUUGACAAGUGUAACGUGAGAAACAAUCACUGCUGUGGAUCUUAAAAGUAGUUGUAAGGGAAGACGUAAACUUUAAAAAAGUAGUUGAUGUUUGGUCCAGAAAGUCUCAGGCAGCUGAAAGACCUGCACUGAGCUGAAGUUAAUAACACGUGAGGAAAAGCGCACGUGAGCAGCCUCAACCCUGGUCCACUCCCCGCUCAGUGAGAGGGGAAUCCGAUUUUGGUUAAAUAGGAAACAAAGUAAAAGUUUUAGAUUAUAUUUUUUUAAAAGAAUAGCAAGGAAAGAAAUAAAAUAUGACAAACUUUUAAAAUUAAACUUCUUGCUUUAAGAUAAUUGUAGAUUCACAAAAGAUAUCAUACAGAGAGUCUAUAUAUGACAUAUGCACUUCUAGUAAUUCAAAUUUCUGGCAAAUAAUUAUCCAGAAUCCGUGUCAGAUGGCACUCAGAUAUUCAAAUCAAAUUCAAUAUCAAUGUUGUAUAUAAUAAAGACAAUGCUCUUUUAUGGCCUAUUAAAACUAGAAUCUAAUUAUGACUAUGAGAUACAGAUUUUAAAUAGAUUUCUUCUUUAAUUCUAUAGUGGAGAUCUAUUGUAGUAGGCCUACCUUUCCUUGGUAACAUCACCCUGAUUUCCUUUUGAGGAAUUCUUUCCUUCUGAGGCGUGUUCUAUUGUUGGGUUGUCAAUCAAAGUGUCCCCUCGACCUCCAGGGGUGGGCGGAAGACCCAAGCUGGCCCAGGCAGACUCUUUCGAACAGAAUGGCACCAGGAUAGGAAAUGCAGUUAGGAUCAGGCACCGCAAAAAUUGUCAGGCAACUCCUGCUGUCCAGACUCCCCAGAGUUUCCCGACUCCAGGUCCUCCUAAGGCCUGGCGUUUCAGCGGCACCUUUGGCUUGCUAAGCACCAGAAUAGCCUUCACGUCAAUUCCCUUUUAGCCUAAAUUAUACCAAGUUGUUCUCUGUGGAUUGCAACCAGAGACUAACGCUGAUAAAAAUCAGUCUGACUCUCCCUUUAAUAAUUAUUUUUUCCUAAUUGUACAAGUGAUAUGUCUCAGUGUGAAGAAUUUGAAAAUGCAUGAAGAGUAUAAGAAAGGAUAUAAAAAUGCUCCGUAAUUUCACCAGAGAUAGCCACUGUUACUUUCAUAUUUUCCCUUGUAUUUUUAUGUAUAAGCUGUGUCUGUAUGUUAUAGAAAAUUGAGAUUGUAGUUUAGUUUUCUAUUUUUAUUCUGGCAAAUUAAUUUAAAUCAUGAGAAUUUUCCAAAGAUUAUUUUCAAAUUUUUUUUACAUUUCAUUCUUUGAACGUAUUAAACUUAUUAAAAUACAUCUAAAAUACUUCUUGGAAAAUACUAACUCUUCAUAACUUUUUUCUUAAACGCAAUUUAUCUUUGCUAUGGGCUAAAUUAUGUCCCCCCGAAUCCAUAUGUUGAUGUCCUAACCCCCAGUACCACAGAAGGUGACUGUAUUUGGACACAGGGUCUUUAAAGAAGUGAUUAAGUCACAGUGAGGCCAUAGGAGUGCGACCCUAAUCCAGUCUGCCUGGUGUCUGCAGAAGAAGAGGAAAUUUGGACACAUAAAAAGGCAGCAGGGAUGCAUGUGCACAAAGGGAAGACCCUGAGGGCACAGCCAGAGAGUGGCCAUCUGCAAGCUCCUAAGGAGAGAGGCCUCAGGAGAAACAGUACUACUGACCCCAUGAUCUUGGACUCCUGGCCUCCAGAACUAUGGGAAAAUAAAUGUCUGUUGUUUAAG
rnacentral:lncRNA from 1 species